GCAAGUCUGGUGCCAGCAGCCGCGGUAAUUCCAGCUCCAAUAGCGUAUAUUAAAGUUGUUGCAGUUAAGAAGCUCGUAGUUGAAUUUCGAGAUCAGUACUCUGGUCGUGCCUUCGGUAUGCACUGGUGUCACUGGUUUCUCCCAUCUGAAGAACCGUCAUGCCAUUCAGUUGGUGUGGCGGGGAAUCAGGACUGUUACUUUGAAAAAAUUAGAGUGUUUAAAGCAGGCUCGCGCUUGAAUACAUUAGCAUGGAAUAAUGAAAUAGGACGUUUGACCCUAUUUUGUUGGUUUCUAGGAUCGACGUAAUGAUUAAUAGGGAUAGUUGGGGGCAUUAGUAUUCAAUUGUCAGAGGUGAAAUUCUUGGAUUUAUUGAAGACUAACUACUGCGAAAACAUUUGCCAAGGAUGUUUUCAUUAAUCAAGAACGAAAGUUAGGGGAUCGAAGACGAUCAGAUACCGUCGUAGUCUUAACCAUAAACUAUGCCGACUAGGGAUCGGAUGAUGUUAAUUUUUUAAUGACUCAUUCGGCGCCUUACGGGAAAC
rnacentral:rRNA from 1 species